AAGGAGGUGAUCCAGCCGUCCUUUGCCAGAACCUGGCGGAGAAUCUGGUCUCCGCCAGCAAUAAGCUCUUGCAGGAGAUUGCCGCCGAUCCGGAGCAUCCGCGCCGUCAGGCCUUUGCUGCCUGGGUAGAUGAUUUUAUCCAGCGGCUGAAACACGACCCCCAUUUCCAGGAGCGUGCCCGAGCGCUGGAAAGGGGAGAUUCUGGAUCAUCCCGCCCUGCACGAUUAUGUCAACGGCCUGUGGGCCGAUUUGCAGGGCUGGCUGGCAGCAGGAUCUGGAGCGUUCCGAUUCCCGGAUCCAUCAACGGCUGGUGGCCGGCGCCGGGGGCCUGGGCCGCUUUCCUCGCCCGAGCAUGAAGCCCCUGCGCGCCGUCGUCAACGAACAUCUUGGAACAGGGGGGUGCGACGCCUGGCCCGAGCCCGCUGCUCGACGGUGCGGCGCGGCACAUUGCCCGACACCAUCCACGCCUGGCGGGACGAGGAUCUGGUGCGGCAGAUGGAAUGGAGCCGUGGCUACCGACCUGGCAAUACAUCCGCAAUCAACCGGCAACCCUCGUUGGGUGGGCUUAGAUUGGACUGGGCCAUCCAACGCCCACAAGUGCUUGGCCGCGGCCCUUUUACCCUAGGCUUGGAUUGAUAGGAGGAUGCCUUUUUUGUUGACCGAAAAUGGCUUGCAUGGGUCAUCGGCCCGCUUGGCUUGCAA
rnacentral:rRNA from 1 species